rnacentral:rRNA from 1 species
AGCGAACGCUGGCGGCAGGCCUAACACAUGCAAGUCGAACGGAUCCUUCGGGAUUAGUGGCGGACGGGUGGGUAACACGUGGGAACGUGCCCUUUGGUUCGGAACAACUCAGGGAAACUUGAGCUAAUACCGGAUGUGCCCUUCGGGGGAAAGAUUUAUCGCCAUUGGAGCGGCCCGCGUCUGAUUAGCUAGUUGGUGAGGUAACGGCCCACCAAGGCGACGAUAAGUAGCUGGUCUGAGAGGAUGAUCAACCACACUGGUACUGAGACACGGCCCAGACUCCUAGGGGAGGCAGCAGUGGGGAAUCUUGCGCAAUGGGCGAAAGCCUGACGCAGCCAUGCCGCGUGAAUGAUGAAGGUCUUAGGAUUGUAAAAUUCUUUCAGCGGGGACGAUAAUGACGGUACCCGCAGAAGAAGCUCCGGCUAACUUCGUG